GGAGAAGGAGUGGUUGGACCGUCGCGGAACUGGAGAAGGGGUGGCUGGACCGUCGCGUAACUGGAGCCGUGGAGGGUGGAACGCAGCAGAACUGGAACAGAGGAGGGUGGAGCGCGGCAGAACUGGAGCAGAGGAGGGCUGGAGCGCGGUGGACCAGAACCGACGCGGCGGAACAGCGGCUGCUCCACGGAGAAACGACACGAGACGAGUUGC
rnacentral:lncRNA from 1 species